rnacentral:rRNA from 1 species
CAGCAGCCGCGGGAAUACGAAGGGGGCUAGCGUUGUUCGGAAUUACUGGGCGUAAAGCGUGCGCAGGCGGUCCGCUAAGACAGAUGUGAAAUCCCCGGGCUUAACCUGGGAACUGCAUUUGUGACUGGCGGGCUAGAGUAUGGCAGAGGGGGGUAGAAUUCCACGUGUAGCAGUGGAAUGCGUAGAGAUGUGGAGGAAUACCGAUGGCGAAGGCAGCCCCCUGGGCCAAUACUGACGCUCAUGCACGAAAGCGUGGGGAGCAAACAGGAUUAGAUACCCCCGUAGUCCCUGUCUCUUAUAC